UACGUAGGGGGCAAGCGUUGUCCGGAUUUAUUGGGCGUAAAGAGCGUGUAGGCGGCUAGGUAGGUCCGUUGUGAAAACUCGAGGCUCAACCUCGAGACGCCGAUGGAAACCAUCUAGCUAGAGUCCGGAAGAGGAGAGUGGAACUGCGAGUGUAGAGGUGAAAUUCGUAGAUAUUCGCAAGAACACCAGUGGCGAAGGCGGCUCACUGGCCCGAUACUGACGCUGAGGCACGAAAGCGUGGGGAGCAAACAGG
rnacentral:rRNA from 1 species